rnacentral:rRNA from 1 species
UACGUAGGGGGCAAGCGUUGUCCGGAAUCAUUGGGCGUAAAGCGCGUGUAGGCGGCCCGGUAAGUCCGCUGUAAAAGUCCAGGGCUCAACCCUGGAAAGCCGGUGGAUACUGUCGGGCUCGAGUCCGGAAGAGGCGAGUGGAAUUCCUGGUGUAGCGGUGAAAUGCGCAGAUAUCAGGAGGAACACCAAUGGCGAAGGCAGCUCGCUGGGACGGUACUGACGCUGAGACGCGAAAGCGUGGGGAGCGAACAGG